GACGAACGCUGGCGGCGUGCUUAACACAUGCAAGUCGAACGAAGAGCGAUGGAAGCUUGCUUCUAUCAAUCUUAGUGGCGAACGGGUGAGUAACGCGUAAUCAACCUGCCCUUCAGAGGGGGACAAAAGUUGGAAACGACUGCUAAUACCGCAUACGAUCUAAUCUCGGCAUCGAGGAUAGAUGAAAGGUGGCCCCUACAUGUAAGCUAUCACUGUAGGAGGGGAUUGCGUCUGAUUAGCUAGUUGGAGGGGUAACGGCCCACCAAGGCGAGGAUCAGUAGCCGGUCUGGGAGGAUGAACGGCCACAUUGGGACUGAGACACGGCCCAGACUCCUACGGGAGGCAGCAGGGGGGAAACUUCCGCAAUGGACGAAAGUCUGACGGAGCAACGCCGCGUGAGUGAUGACGGCCUUCGGGUUGUAAAGCUCUGUUAAUCGGGACGAAAGGCCUUCUUGCGAAUAGUGAGAAGGAUUGACGGUACCGGAAUAGAAAGCCACGGCUAACUACGUG
rnacentral:rRNA from 1 species